rnacentral:tRNA from 1 species
GUCUGGCUGGCUCAGUCGGUAGGGCAUGUGACUCUUAAUCUCAGGGUCAUGAGUUCGAGCCCCAUGUGUGGUA